UACGUAGGGUGCGAGCGUUGUCCGGAAUUACUGGGCGUAAAGGGUUUGCAGGCGGCCUUUUAAGUCAGGUGUUAAAACUCACGGCUCAACCGUGGGGUGCACUUGAAACUGGAAGGCUUGAGUCAAGGAGAGGAAAGUGGAAUUCCUAGUGUAGCGGUGAAAUGCGUAGAUAUUAGGAGGAAUACCAGUGGCGAAGGCGACUUUCUGGACUUGUACUGACGCUGAGGAACGAAAGCAUGGGUAGCAAACAGG
rnacentral:rRNA from 1 species